UUUAUUCCUUAAAAAUCAAAGAAUACAUCUGUUCGCAAGUCAGGACACACAAAAUUGAAAUGGGGUUCUCCCAACUGACGAAAUGACAAUAGCCAAUAUAAAGGCAAGUUUUUUAACAAUAAAAUACAUGAGAAUGGGAAAGUGGGCUUUCUUCAAAGUCUUCGAACCUUUUGAACUUCUUGAACCAUCUUCUCUGACGCCUCUAGUAUAUCAAUCCAUGGCUUCUUCACCUUAUCAAAAAUCCAAGCAUUUUUAGCUCUCCAAAUAUUCCAACAUUGAACUGCCAACAAGAGGAUUUGCUUAUCUCCAUGUUGUUGUCCUCGAAAUCUUGUCUUCUGCUCUAACCACCAAUCAUGGAAAUUAUUGAGUUGAUGCAUUUGGCUAACCAUGGACGAGGAAGAAUUACUCCAUACUUCCUUCGAUUCUGGGAAAGAAACAAGGCAAUGUAAUACAGAUUCUAUGUCUCCGUGGCAUCUCAAGCAAAUGGGUUCUGUUGCUAGAAAUCUUUGGUGUAGUUGCUGCAUCACCGGGAGGUGGCCAUGGAGUGCUUUCCAUAGGAAAAUUGCAAUAUUGCUAGGCACCUGAAGCUUCCAUAAAUGCACCCAAAGUUCUCUUUGGCGUGUCAGAUUUGGAUUCAUCUCAACUGGUUCAUGAAAAAAUUGGCUCUCUGUCAAAUUAAUGCUAAAAGGAUAAGGGGGUGGGAGCCAAAGAUCCUGAAAAAUCUAGAUGUUGUAGCCAUCACCGACACUCCAAAGAAGGCCUUUCUCCAUAAUUCUUCGUCCCUCCAACACGCUUGUCCAUUCUCAGGAUGAUAAUAUUCCGACUUCUGAUUGCAUUACA